GCCCACGAUGGCUACAGAGCUUCAAGGAGGAGGCUUCCUGGAGGAGGUGGCCCAGCUCUUCAGAGGACCAGCAUGUCUUCCCCUUGGGUUCUGGGACCCCUUUUAACGAUAAGUCCUUUUGGACCACGCUGGUCCUGGCUGAGACCCUGCCGCCUGCCGCGCGCCUUGAGCAGAGGUUAGACAGGCCGCGCACCUCCAAGCUUUGACACGUCCUUCCUCCAAAGGGUGGAGGCCCCACAGGCCCCGCAGGGACCUUUGCCAUAGGAACCGCGGGUUUCUGACGGGCAGGAGGCGCCUGAGAGGUCUCCGCGGAACGGCGCGUGCACCUGCGGCCGCGGCGGCGGGUCCGGAAGGAGAUGGGCCGCUGGAUGGGCUGUUUCCUGAGCUUGGUUCCCGUGGCGGGGUGGCCCCUCGCCCCUGCAUUUGGCAGACGUGAUGCGGAGCCCGAGGGUGGCUGUUGGCCUGGGGCGGGGAGGGGGCUCUCUAGAUCUGGGGUCCCACCUGCUGGGCUUGGGGAGCCCAUUUGGCCUUCUCUGAUUGGUCCGGGGUUGCAGGUGGGGUCACCUCAGGAAGCUGCUGUAUCUGAGGGAACCCGGGCCGCACUCGGGGGACGCUGGGGUUUGACUUCUGGGGCUGGGGGCUGCACGAGUGGGUCGGGGUCUGUCUGGGUUGGGGUCCGCGGCCGCGUGGGGUCUGGAUUGGCGUCUGCUUGGCUUGGGGGUCCUCAGCCGCAUGCAGUUUGGGUCGGAGUCAGGGUCUGCAGCUGUGUGGGGUCCGGUUCUCAUGGCCCCUGUGCCUGGACUUCGCUCUC
rnacentral:lncRNA from 1 species